rnacentral:rRNA from 1 species
UAGGGAAUAUUGGUAAUCUGGGAAACCGGGAACCAGCAACGCCGCGUGCGCGAUGAAGGCCUUCGGGUUGUAAAGCGCUUUUUGAGGGGAUGAGGAAGGACAGUACCCUCAGAAUAAGCCUCGGCUAACUACGUGCCAGCAGCCGCGGUAAAACGUAGGAGGCGAGCGUUAUCCGGAUUUACUGGGCGUAAAGCGUGUGUAGGCGGUUUGAUAAGUUGGAUGUGAAAGCUCCUGGCUUAACUGGGAGAGGUCGUUCAAAACUAUCAGACUCGAGAGUGGUAGAGGGAGGUGGAAUUCCGCGUGUAGUGGUGAAAUGCGUAGAUAUGCGGAGGAACACCAGUGGCGAAAGCGGCCUCCUGGCCCAUUUCUGACGCUCAGACACGAAAGCUAAGGUAGCAAACGG